rnacentral:rRNA from 1 species
AGUGAACGCUGGCGGUAGGCCUAACACAUGCAAGUCGAACGGCAGCACAGUAAGAGCUUGCUCUUACGGGUGGCGAGUGGCGGACGGGUGAGGAAUACAUCGGAAUCUACUUUUUCGUGGGGGAUAACGUAGGGAAACUUACGCUAAUACCGCAUACGACCUACGGGUGAAAGCAGGGGAUCUUCGGACCUUGCGCGAUUGAAUGAGCCGAUGUCGGAUUAGCUAGUUGGCGGGGUAAAGGCCCACCAAGGCGACGAUCCGUAGCUGGUCUGAGAGGAUGACCAGCCACACUGGAACUGAGACACGGUCCAGACUCCUACGGGAGGCAGCAGUGGGGAAUAUUGGACAAUGGGCGCAAGCCUGAUCCAGCCAUACCGCGUGGGUGAAGAAGGCCUUCGGGUUGUAAAGCCCUUUUGUUGGGAAAGAAAAGCAGCAGGUUAAUACCCCGCUGUUCUGACGGUACCCAAAGAAUAAGUACCGGCUAACUUCGUG